CGCAGCCUUGCGCUGGAGAUGCGCCCGGACACGGCGGGGGCUAGCGGAGCGCCGGCUCUCGGUGCCGCCGGCAGCCCGGCCCGAGGGCACGGCCGGCGGGGCCAUCGGCGGCCGAGCGCAUGAACGAGCUUGCCGAGAACCAGCGUUUGGAAAAAGUGAAGCGUUACAGUUCAGUCACUGCAGAAAAUUCCAAACCUUUCCAACAGCAGCACAACAGUUCGUGCCUUGCAAAUGCAGCAGCUCCGCUGCUCCAGUCACACUCCACUUCCUUCCCCUUCUGCCAACUGCUGCGGGACAUCCCUUUCCUUGCCCCAUCACGGAACCGCCGUGGGCAGAGGUGCCAAGGGAAAAGUACUGCUGGAAGGACCAGUGUACCAGCGUGGGAAAAAUGGUUCUGUAGCUUCUUAGAACAAGAUUUCAAAAUUAGAAUGAAGUCUCCCUAGUCCCUCCGUAAAAGUUACAUGUAAUAAAAAAACGAACUGCUUGACAAAAAAAAUACAACAACAAGGAAAAAUAAAGACAUAAAAGCUGCCCAGCGAAGAGGUGUUUAAAAGAAAACUUCAUCCUCUAUCCAAAAAACAGCCGGAUUUAUCCCCUUAAUAAUCUCUUAUCUUCUUGCCCUAUGUACCUCAUUUUGCUCCACAUGCUCAGAACUACAGUUUGUUUCCUAGACGCAUUUAAAAAGCAACGGGUAAAAAGGUUUAAUUUUAAAAAAGUAAACCAUCCAUUGGAAAUAAAAGUUAUUUUUAAGUAUCUGUAACAAGUGUUUAGGAAUAUAGUCUCUGUAAGCUCUAGAUGCCUCAGAUUGAUGCCUCAGAUUGAUGCCUCAGAUUUAGCUGUUUUAUUGGUGGGAGGAGGGGGAAGAGGAUGGGGGAGAUUCUUCUCUGGUUUCUUCCUUAAAAUCUGCUGCAGGAAAUUGUAGACCAACAUCAAUCUGAAGAAAACAGAUUUCUACUUUUCACAUGCACACACCCACCAGCACUGUUUUAUCUCCACUUUCCCUUCUUGCCACUGCAAAAUUCCUGGUAGUAGUUUCAGGUGCCAGGCACACCUGACUAAAAGAACAAAAUGUCAUGGGUUUUCUCCUGACAAACCCAGCUUCUGCUGUCUUCAAAGCCUUCCUUUCUUUUGGAUUGAACUCACUCACACAUCUGCUUUUCUUAGCACCAGAAUGUGCAGGGAAAACCUCAGGAUUCAAAGAGAUGGCAGCUUCAAAGCCAGCACAAGCAGCGUUGUAGUUCUCUACAGAAAUCAUUUGGACAAGUUAGAAAGCUACGGUUACUGAGAACUUGCCUCUUUUCUUUUUGGUGUAGUGUUGUAAAAAAACCUAGUGCCAUCUGCAUUUACCUGAGCCCCCAGUACCAUGCACAGGAAAAGGAAGGCAGAAGAAGAGAGGAAGGAAAAAGAAGACAAGGAGCAUGCUCUCAAAGACUUUUCCUGCAUCUCUGAACUUCCUGCAGCUUUUAACUUUUACAUAUACUUGGCAUGAAGUACUACAAAGGAUUGGAUGUGCUGGGUUCUUGUUUUAGGGCGGAGAGGUACAUCAGCGUAAGUAGCAGAAAGUUCGGCGGGCAGGUUAUUGCCACCAUGUGCAUUGAUGGCAUACAAGGAUAAUAUGAAAAAUCAUGUUUUGUUUCAAUUCAUCCCAAAGAAUACUAAGCUGAAUGAGAGACAUUGACCUCAGUUUCACAGGAUCACAGAAGAGCAGAGCUGAGAUUGCAAAGGAUCUCUAGAUAAAUUCUAGUCCAAGCCCCAGCUCAAAAGUGGGGUCAAAUAAAGCAAAUUGUUCCAAGUUGUGUUCAGCCAAGCUUUGAAUAUCUUCAAUAACAGUGACUCCACAGCCUCUCUGGGCAACUUGUUCCCAUGAAAGAAGCUCUUACAAAAAUUUUGUGUAUUGCAAUUUGUGCCUGUGGCCUCAUAUCCUUUCAUUGGCACUAUUAGGAGAACAAGGCCACUUUUUAAUUUUAUUUGUAGCUUUAUUUUGCAGUUCCUGGAAUGCUUAAAGUAUUUGUUAAAUGCAGAUUACCUGCAGAGAAAUCAGCCAUGCUACUCAUAGCACAAGAAGAUAACAGGGUGCUUGAGGCAUUGCAGUACCCUGGUUUGGGAGCACCCUUACAACCUGUCUCUCAGAUAUGCUCACUCUAAGUUAUCUCCAUACAUGUAUUUACCUAUACACACAUAUAUAUGUAUGUAUGUAUUAUACACUAUAUAUAUGAUCACCAGAUAAGGGUCUGUACUCAACAUCAUUAUCCACUCAAUCAAUAUUAUGCUUUUACUCUUGUGCUUUUUUUUUUCCUAGUGGUGAACUAGCAGCUUCCAGAACCACAGUUGUCACUGUUGCACUAGUCCAACUUCAUAUAUUGUAUCUGGCUGUGUGAUAUUUAUAUGAAGAGCUGUUUCUUGUUUCAUACUACAGAAAUAAUUGUCCUGAUCCUUCUCUCAGCUGCAUCUAGCCCAGACUAGGUAGCUGUUCUUUCUAAAAGAAUUACUUGGCAAGUACAGAAGUCUGCUGUAUUUUAAGAAAAGAAAGGUCACACAAAACAAGUUAAUCUUUCACAGAGUACGAGUGAAUUAACAAAAUGAUCAAUGCUUGUUUUCUAAAUAUUGGGGUGAUUUCUUCUUUUUUUUUUUUUUCAAGCCUUAUUCCUGCCCUCUUCAUUUUACACCAAAGGGAAGACAUUUGAAGUGUGAAACUUGUGAAAUAGGUGAGGUUUUCACAGCCAGCAUCUACAGCCUUCUAUCUUACCUCUAGCAGGGUCAACACACCCUUUUCCUGAUUUGUUUCACCCACCCUUUCAAAUUCACUGGUUUGGAAAAUCCUGAUACCCUGUUUUUUCCUUCUCUUUCUCACACAAACUAUUAAUCUCAUUUUUAAGAAAGAAAGAUUAGCCCAAGCCAACACCGAUCAUUAAGAAGUGAUAAUACUUACAUAUCUAGUCAAAUAUGUGACAUGGAUAGAUGUUAAAAUAUUUUUUGCUCUUGUAUAAAAAGACCAGAUAGAAAGUCACUUACUGGAGGAAACGAAAAUCGGUAGUUGAUAAUAAAGGGUACUGUUGUUAACACUUGUUAAAGACUUAUCUAGGACUAAUGAGUAAGUUCUGCCAGUUCAUGAUAGCAGGUUUUCUUUGUUAUCUUCAUCUUGAAUGGCCUAUUAAUCAUUUAUACAGAAGUCUUGAAAAAGAAGAAGGGGGGGGGGGGAAAAGUCCUUGUCCCAGCUCUUUGCAGCUCUGCAGGAAAUGCAGUUUUAAAUUUACCUUUAUAGUCCUUCAUAAUUUAGCCUCCUUCAUAAUUUAGCUUCCUCAUCUCCAGCUGAUCUAAUGUAACUCCACUAUGUCUGCCUUUAUGUCUCACUAGCUUCUGCUACAAAUGUCAUUGUUGUCUCUCCUCACAUUGGUAAUUAAACAUGAGGGAAAUCCCUGAUCCCAAUUUGUGUAUGGAUUCCUACAAAACACAUUUGAAGCUUCAUUAUGAGCAUAAGGUUCUGCUUUGCUGACCAUGACUCUAAACAAGGUUGAACUCCGUGUACACCUCUUUUCUCUGUUUCGCUUUCUGGUACUUUUGUUAAUUAUUGUUUUCUUUGCUGUAUCACAUCCUGGUAGAGAUUCAGCUCUUAGUAGCAAGCCAAGCGCCUAGCAAAGCUACACCAAUUAAUUUACUGAGAUUUAUAGUGCUCUCCUACAUUUGUCAUCUGCUUGUAUUUUUGAAGCUGAGCACAGUGAGGAAGGAUUUUCUCUCAUCAGUCAUCUUGCAAAGUGAUGGAGAGAGGGUUUGGAAUGCCACCAUUCCAAACUAAUUUCGAAGUUAUGGUCAUUAAUCACCCCAGUUUCGUUAAACAGGUUUUUGUUGUAAGGAGGACAUCAUAUAUAUAUAUAUAUAUAUAUGUAUGUAUGUAUGUAUGUAUGUAUGUAUGUAUGUAUGUAUGUAUGUAUGUAUGUAUGUAUAUACACCAUAUGAAAGGAUACAUGAAUCAGUGGGACUAAUCCUCUUUCCAGAAACGUUUAGCCCUUUAAUUAUGAAGGAAAAAUACAAAUAAUUGUAAUUGAGUUUUAAACCUAAUGGUCAUAAAUGAAGUUUUUGUCCUCCACUCCUGAUUUCAUGGCUGAGGGUAAGAAACUACCCUUCCAAACAUCCUCAGUCUUCACAAAGGGGUCACAUUACACCGACAUAGGACGUGUGUGGACAUACGAAUAGUCCGUAUCUUGCAAAUUGUAGACGACACAAAAAGCAGAAAUUUCUGGGGAAAUAAUGCCUGUUAGUUGAGCCAGCAUGGUGCGAUUUCACACCUGCCACCACAGGCAAUAUGUGUGAAUGCGUGUCCUAACUGCUCCCACUGCUCCCUGGGGCCAGGGAGCAAAUCUGCAGCUCCUAUUCGUGCUGAUUGUCCUGCAAAUAGCUGGGCUUCCUUAUCGCUUCUCCCGCAUAUGCAUUCCCUUGGCUUACAGACCUGAUGCUGGAAAGUGCUCAGCUCUCGGCUUCUAUUGAAGUCAUCUGAUAGAUCCCAGUAGCAUUGAGGAAGAUGUAGCCCUAGAGUUAGUAAUUCAUUUUAAACGAAAAAUAAAUUGAAAUGAACAAGGCUAAAUAAACAUAAAUAAGGUAUAAAAUGCUGCAGUCUCCAGGAAAGCCCAAGGGCGGCUAUUUAUUAAUUUUUUUUAUUAAAGCAAGUUAGCUAGGUUUCCAUGAGGAAAUAGAUACUGUGUCUCGACUGACGGUUUGCUGAACUAUGAGCAAAACCUUUUACUCUUCCGACAUGGGCAAAGCUGAUCGAUGGUUUUUCUACUGUGCUUAUACUAGAAGGAUUUGUAACUCAUCGGAAGAAAGACUGUAAUUUUACUUUGCGAGUUUAUAAUCAAGCCCUAGUACAUCUUGGAGAGUCUGUCUAUGUUGCUACAAUAUAAAUACUAACUAAAAACAUAUCUUUAAAAUAAAAAUAGGCUGUAUGACAUAAUCCUUGGAAUUCAGUUUUGUUUGUUAUCAAAGUUGUUCUCCAACUGUUCCGUGCAGUGGCAAUUCUUCCUACACAUCCAC